rnacentral:rRNA from 1 species
GACGAACGCUGGCGGCGUGCUUAACACAUGCAAGUCGAACGAUGAACCACUUCGGUGGGGAUUAGUGGCGAACGGGUGAGUAACACGUGGGCAAUCUGCCCUUCACUCUGGGACAAGCCCUGGAAACGGGGUCUAAUACCGGAUAACACUGUCACGGGCAUCUGUGGUGGUUAAAAGCUCCGGCGGUGAAGGAUGAGCCCGCGGCCUAUCAGCUUGUUGGUGAGGUAAUGGCUCACCAAGGCGACGACGGGUAGCCGGCCUGAGAGGGCGACCGGCCACACUGGGACUGAGACACGGCCCAGACUCCUACGGGAGGCAGCAGUGGGGAAUAUUGCACAAUGGGCGAAAGCCUGAUGCAGCGACGCCGCGUGAGGGAUGACGG